UUGAAAAACCUACUUAAGUAAAGUAAUGGGCGUAUUUGCGCUUUGUUACGUCACACCGCUGCUCUCCGGUGAUUUGUCUUUUAAUAACGCACGCAACGCUUGCCUUCACCCGUGGGACAAAACGCUUCAAAACGACGACGAUCGCUCGACAUGAGACCAACCGUGUUAAGUCCCCACAUUCCCUAAAUAGGGGGGCGUGCGCAGCGUGUUGCGAAUUGACUCAGCACGGCAAACGGAGGCAACUCGGGGCAACUGCCCCAGAGGGGGGUCUGCGGAGCGGGAAGCAGCGGGGCAGGGGAGCGGGGUGCUGGGAUGGCGGUGACGGGGGACAGCGGGACCCGUUGCCCCAGAAACAGGAGAUGCAGCGAUUCGGUGGAAAGUGUCGACGGCGUUCUCCCUACCCCGCAACACCCCCCUUCCCCGCUCCUCUAUUCUCUCUCACACUCUUCCUCCUCUUCCUCUCUGCUUUUAUUAUCUCAGAUUUAAUAAAGGCAAGGCGAGCAGCUUGUUCUGCCAUGAAACAUU